CCUACGGGUGGCAGCAGUGGGGAAUAUUGCACAAUGGGCGCAAGCCUGAUGCAGCCAUGCCGCGUGUAUGAAGAAGGCCUUCGGGUUGUAAAGUACUUUCAGCGGGGAGGAAGGCGAUAAGGUCAAUAACCUUGUCGAUUGACGUUACCCGCAGAAGAAGCACCGGCUAACUCCGUGCCAGCAGCCGCGGUAAUACGGAGGGUGCAAGCGUUAAUCGGAAUUACUGGGCGUAAAGCGCACGCAGGCGGUCUGUCAAGUCGGAUGUGAAAUCCCCGGGCUCAACCUGGGAACUGCGUUCGAAACUGGCAGGCUGGAGUCUUGUAGAGGGGGGUAGAAUUCCAGGUGUAGCGGUGAAAUGCGUAGAGAUCUGGAGGAAUACCGGUGGCGAAGGCGGCCCCCUGGAUAAAGACUGACGCUCAGGUGCGAAAGCGUGGGGAGCAAACAGGAUUAGAUACCCUUGUAGUC
rnacentral:rRNA from 1 species